rnacentral:tRNA from 1 species
GCGCCCGUAGUUCAGGGGAUAGAACAUCAACCUUCUAAGUUGACUGUCGCAGGUUCGAGUCCUGCCGGGCGCGCCU